rnacentral:rRNA from 1 species
UAACUGAAGAGUUUGAUCAUGGCUCAGAUUGAACGCUGGCGGCAGGCUUAACACAUGCAAGUCGAGCGGGGGAAGGUAGCUUGCUACUGGACCUAGCGGCGGACGGGUGAGUAAUGCUUAGGAAUCUGCCUAUUAGUGGGGGACAACAUCUCGAAAGGGAUGCUAAUACCGCAUACGUCCUACGGGAGAAAGCAGGGGAUCUUCGGACCUUGCGCUAAUAGAUGAGCCUAAGUCGGAUUAGCUAGUUGGUGGGGUAAAGGCCUACCAAGGCGACGAUCUGUAGCGGGUCUGAGAGGAUGAUCCGCCACACUGGGACUGAGACACGGCCCAGACUCCUACGGGAGGCAGCAGUGGGGAAUAUUGGACAAUGGGGGG